AAAUUGAAGAUUCGAAGAGGUGGACUAUGAUUCGAAGGUUUUCAAGCGUGGAUUCAUGAUGAGGGAGAGGAGGGGGAGCUAUGGUGUCAUUUUUGGAGUGAUUGGAGGGUAACGUCGCCGUGCACGGCGGUGACAGCGCUAGGGUUUGGCAUUUAUGAGGCGCUUAAAUGAUACUUGAAGAAAAUUGGUGGUGGAUUUAGAACGGGGAGAUGAAGGAGAGGAGAUGGUGUAAGUUUGGGCGUAAUUGGUCGCCGGUCGCCGGCCGCCGCCAUGGGGCGAUUCCCGGCGGCGGCGCUACAUUCUCUGUAUUUGGAGAGUUUGGAGGCGAUGAA
rnacentral:lncRNA from 1 species